rnacentral:rRNA from 3 species
GACAGAGGGUGCAAACGUUGUUCGGAAUUACUGGGCGUAAAGCGCGUGUAGGCGGUCUCGCAAGUCGGAUGUGAAAGCCCAGGGCUCAACCCUGGAAGUGCACUCGAUACUGCGAGGCUAGAGUCCCGGAGAGGAUGGUGGAACUCUCGGUGUAGAGGUGAAAUUCGUAGAUAUCGAGAAGAACACCGGUGGCGAAGGCGGCCAUCUGGACGGUGACUGACGCUGAGACGCGAAAGCGUGGGGAGCAAACAGG